CUAAGUUUGAUGGCGACCGGCGCACGGGUGAGUAACACGUAUCCAACCUGCCGAUGACUCGGGGAUAGCCUUUCGAAAGAAAGAUUAAUACCCGAUGGCAUAGUUCUUCCGCAUGGUAGAACUAUUAAAGAAUUUCGGUCAUCGAUGGGGAUGCGUUCCAUUAGGUUGUGGCGGGGUAACGGCCCACCAAGCCUUCGAUGGAUAGGGGUUCUGAGAGGAAGGUCCCCCACAUUGGAACUGAGACACGGUCCAAACUCCUACGGGAGGCAGCAUG
rnacentral:rRNA from 1 species